rnacentral:rRNA from 1 species
UACGUAGGGUGCAGGCGUUAAUCGGAAUUACUGGGCGUAAAGCGUGCGCAGGCGGUUUGCUAAGACAGGUGUGAAAUCCCCGGGCUUAACCUGGGAACUGCGCUUGUAACUGGCAAGCUAGAGUGUGGCAGAGGGGGGUGGAAUUCCACGUGUAGCAGUGAAAUGCGUAGAGAUGUGGAGGAAUACCGAUGGCGAAGGCAGCCCCCUGGGCCAAUACUGACGCUCAUGCACGAAAGCGUGGGGAGCAAACAGG